CCUACGGGUGGCAGCAGUGAGGAAUAUUGGUCAAUGGGCGCGAGCCUGAACCAGCCAAGUAGCGUGCAGGAUGACUGCCCUACGGGUUGUAAACUUCUUUUAUACGGGAAUAAAGUGAGGCACGUGUGCCUUUUUGUAUGUACUUUAUGAAUAAGGAUCGGCUAACUCCGUGCCAGCAGCCGCGGUAAUACGGAGGAUCCGAGCGUUAUCCGGAUUUAUUGGGUUUAAAGGGAGCGUAGAUGGGUUGUUAAGUCAGUGGUGAAAGUUUGCGGCUCAACCGUAAAAUUGCAAUUGAUACUGGCAGGCUUGAGAACAGUUGAGGUAGGCGGAAUGCGUGGUGUAGCGGUGAAAUGCUUAGAGAUCACGAAGAACUCCGAUUGCGAAGGCAGCUUACUAAACUGCCACUGACAUUGAUGCACGAAAGUGUGGGUAUCAAACAGGAUUAGAUACCCGAGUAGUC
rnacentral:rRNA from 1 species